rnacentral:rRNA from 1 species
UACGAAGGGGGCUAGCGUUGUUCGGAAUUACUGGGCGUAAAGCGCGCGUAGGCGGUUUUGCAAGCCAGAGGUGAAAUGCCUGAGCUCAACUUAGGAAUUGCCUUUGGGACUGCGAGGCUUUGAGGACGAGAGAGGUGAGUGGAAUUCCCAGUGUAGAGGUGAAAUUCGUAGAUAUUGGGAAGAACACCGGUGGCGAAGGCGGCUCACUGGCUCGUUUCUGACGCUGUAGCGCGAAAGCGUGGGGAUCAAACAGGAUUAGAUACCCCCGUAGUCC